AGCUUUCUGAAUCUGUGCUGAGAUUUCGUCAAACACCAAUCCAUUAGAGCUGAUUAGACUUCCAAGAUAAGUGAAGUU
rfam:Schistosoma margrebowiei strain Zambia genome assembly, scaffold: SMRZ_scaffold0000001